AUUGAACGCUGGCGGCAUGCUUUACACAUGCAAGUCGAACGGUAACAGGCCUUCGGGUGCUGACGAGUGGCGCACGGGUGAGUAAUGCAUCGGAACGUGCCCAGAGGUGGGGGAUAACGCAGCGAAAGCUGUGCUAAUACCGCAUGUGAUCUGAGGAUGAAAGCGGGGGACCAAGCAGCAAUGUUUGGCCUCGCGCCUCUGGAGCGGCCGAUGUCAGAUUAGGUAGUUGGUGGGGUAAAGGCCUACCAAGCCGACGAUCUAUAGCUGGUCUGAGAGGACGACCAGCCACACUGGGACUGAGACACGGCCCAGACUCCUACGGGAGGCAGCAGUGGGGAAUUUUGGACAAUGGGCGCAAGCCUGAUCCAGCAAUGCCGCGUGCGGGAAGAAGGCCUUCGGGUUGUAAACCGCUUUUGUACGGAACGAAAAGGCUCUGGCUAAUACCUGGGGCUGAUGACGGUACCGUAAGAAUAAGCACCGGCUAACUACGUG
rnacentral:rRNA from 1 species